UACGUAGGGGGCAAGCGUUAUCCGGAUUUACUGGGUGUAAAGGGAGCGCAGGCGGUAUGGCAAGUCAGAUGUGAAAACCCAGGGCUCAACCCUGGGACUGCAUUUGAAACUGCCAUACUGGAGUGCCGGAGAGGUAAGUGGAAUUCCUAGUGUAGCGGUGAAAUGCGUAGAUAUCACGAAGAACUCCGAUUGCGAAGGCAGCUCACUGGACUGCAACUGACACUGAGGCUCGAAAGUGUGGGUAUCAAACAGG
rnacentral:rRNA from 1 species